AUCAACGCUGGCGGCGUGCCUAAUGCAUGCAAGUCGCACGGGGUGGCCUUCGGGUGGCUUACGUGGCGGACGGGUGAGGAACACGUGGGUAACCUGCCCGGUGGUGGGGGCUAGCCUUCGGAAACGGAGGGUAAUUCCGCAUAAGCUGGUCACUCGAGUGGGAGUGGUCAGGAAAGCGCGCGAGCGCGCCGCCGGAGGGGUCUGCGUCCGAUUAGCUGGUUGGUGGGGUAACGGCUCACCAAGGCGAUGAUCGGUAGCUGGUUUGAGAGGAUGAUCAGCCACACGGGGACUGAGACACGGCCCCGGACU
rnacentral:rRNA from 1 species